rnacentral:rRNA from 1 species
GACGAACGCUGGCGGCGUGCUUAACACAUGCAAGUCGAACGGAAAGGCCCUGCUUUUGUGGGGUGCUCGAGUGGCGAACGGGUGAGUAACACGUGAGUAACCUGCCCUUGACUUUGGGAUAACUUCAGGAAACUGGGGCUAAUACCGGAUAGGAGCUCCUGCUGCAUGGUGGGGGUUGGAAAGUUUCGGCGGUUGGGGAUGGACUCGCGGCUUAUCAGCUUGUUGGUGGGGUAGUGGCUUACCAAGGCUUUGACGGGUAGCCGGCCUGAGAGGGUGACCGGCCACAUUGGGACUGAGAUACGGCCCAGACUCCUACGGGAGGCAGCAGUGGGGAAUAUUGCACAAUGGGCGGAAGCCUGAUGCAGCAACGCCGCGUGCGGGAUGACGGCCUUCGGGUUGUAAACCGCUUUCGCCUGUGACGAAGCGUGAGUGACGGUAAUGGGUAAAGAGGCACCGGCUAACUACGUA